rnacentral:lncRNA from 1 species
AUGCUUGCGAUCACAUUGAGAGUCAUCCCUGAGCGAAGUUUGCAGUGUCCUUUCUGUUUGGUGGUGCACCUCCGAAAAAGACGUGUCGGUUUGAGACUCCCUCGCAGAGCCUUUUUUGGGCCGAGGGAGAAGACUUCGGGCCUCAUUAUCUGCAUUUGUGCCAAGGAAAAGCCCAAGGGAAGGCACGAAACGCUGGAAAUGUGGAAUGGCCCAAGCAAGGGAACGUGGAAGAUGAAGAGCAGUCCUGCAAGACUUUAUCUUUCAGCCACACGAGCGGCUGGGUGAAGUGUUCCAGGCCGAGGAUGCUGUCUGCUGAGAGAGUGGAGGCCCAGCCACCCCAAUUUACUGCCUGCCCUACUAAGCCUCUUAGCCCAGAUGACCCCUGGGCGUUCAGAUCUGAGCUCUUAUCACAAAGCGGUGUUUCAUACCCCGGAUGACAGGCUGGCUCCUCAGAGGCGUAUCUUGCGGAGAUGAUCUCAGGCAGAAAGAAAAUGGUUGAGGACAUCAAGUGGUACUAUUAAGGACUACAAAUUACCAUGGGCUCUUGUGUCUGCUUUUCUUCCCGCCUUUAUUUAGAACUCUAAUUGGAUAGUUUCUGCUAAAACACUUAGGAGUGGUAAUGAUCAAGGCCCAAGAAUUUGAUUUUGUUUAGUCUUUUAAAAUACUGUAACUGAUUUUAGCUAAAAGGAAGUUUUAGUCAUUUGCGUUUCUAGGGUAGGUAAAAUAAUAUUGACUUCACAGGGUCCCAUGUCUAACAAUACACACAGAAGCAGCACCA